UACGAAGGGUGCAAACGUUGCUCGGAAUUAUUGGGCGUAAAGCGCACGUAGGCGGCUUUUCAAGUCGGAUGUGAAAUCCCUCGGCUUAACCAAGGAAGUGCAUCCGAAACUGGAGAGCUUGAGUACUUAAGAGGAUCGCGGAAUUCCCGGUGUAGAGGUGAAAUUCGUAGAUAUCGGGAGGAACACCAGUGGCGAAGGCGGCGAUCUGGGAAGAUACUGACGCUGAGGUGCGAAAGCGUGGGGAGCAAUCAGG
rnacentral:rRNA from 1 species